GCGGAUGGGUGAGUAACGCGUAGGCAACCUGCCUGAAGGGCGGGGAUAACGUUCCGAAAGGGGCGCUAAUACCCGAUGAUGCAGCGGUCCCGCAUGGGAACAGUUGUUAAAGGUUUCGGCCACCUUCAGAUGGGCCUGCGUGCCAUUAGCUAGUUGGUAGGGUAAGAGCCUACCAAGGCGAUGAUGGCUAGGGGGUCUGAGAGGAUGAUCCCCCACACUGGGACUGAGACACGGCCCAGACUCCUACGGGAGGCAGCAGUGAGGAAUCUUGCGCAAUGGAGGAAACUCUGACGCAGCCACGCCGCGUGCUGGAAGACGGCCCUAUGGGUUGUAAACAGCUUUUACCAGGGAAGAACCCGGGGGAUUCGUCCCCCGCUGACGGUACCUGGUGAAUAAGCACCGGCUAACUCCGUGCCAGCAGCCGCGGUAAUACGGAGGGUGCAAGCGUUGUCCGGAAUCAUUGGGUGUAAAGGGUGCGCAGGCGGGUCAGUAAGUCGAGGGUGAAAUCUUGCCGCUUAACGGUAAAAUGGCCUUCGAUAC
rnacentral:rRNA from 1 species